GCCUCCGAGGAGCGUUGCGACGGGUGAUUCAAAAAUCAUCCGCCAGGCUCGGAGGCCUUCAAUCCGGACGGUUCGAAGGCAUGCAAAAGCCCGCUGAGCCACCGCAUUCGAACGGCGCUCACGUCAA
rnacentral:ncRNA from 1 species